UUAGUGGCGAACGGGUGAGUAACAUAUCGGAACGUACCCAGUAAUGGGGGAUAACUAGUCGAAAGACUGGCUAAUACCGCAUACGCCCUGAGGGGGAAAGCGGGGGAUCGAAAGACCUCGUGUUAUUGGAGCGGCCGAUAUCUGAUUAGCUAGUUGGUGGGGUAAAGGCCUACCAAGGCGACGAUCAGUAGCUGGUCUGAGAGGACGACCAGCCACACUGGAACUGAGACACGAUCCAG
rnacentral:rRNA from 1 species